rnacentral:rRNA from 1 species
CCCUUAGAUGUUCUGGGCUGCACGCGCGCUACACUGAUGCGCUCAACGAGUUUUAACCUUGCCUGGAAAGGUUGGGUAAUCUUUUUAAAACGCAUCGUGAUGGGGAUAGAUUAUUGCAAUUAUUAAUCUUCAACGAGGAAUUCCUAGUAAACGCAAGUCAUCAACUUGCAUUGAUUACGUCCCUGCCCUUUGUACACACCGCCCGUCGCACCUACCGAUUGAAUGGUCCGGUGAAGCCUCCGGAUUGGCGCGCACCUCGGUGCCGCCGAGAAGUUGGCUAAACCUUACCAUUUAGAGGAAGGUGAAGUCGUANCA